GCGGAUGAAGGGAGCUUGCUCUCUGAUUCAGCGGCGGACGGGUGAGUAAUGCCUAGGAAUCUGCCUGGUAGUGGGGGACAACGUUUCGAAAGGAACGCUAAUACCGCAUACGUCCUACGGGAGAAAGCAGGGGACCUUCGGGCCUUGCGCUAUCAGAUGAGCCUAGGUCGGAUUAGCUAGUUGGUGAGGUAAUGGCUCACCAAGGCGACGAUCCGUAACUGGUCUGAGAGGAUGAUCAGUCACACUGGAACUGAGACACGGUCCAGACUCCUACGGGAGGCAGCAGUGGGGAAUAUUGGACAAUGGGCGAAAGCCUGAUCCAGCCAUGCCGCGUGUGUGAAGAAGGUCUUCGGAUUGUAAAGCACUUUAAGUUGGGAGGAAGGGUUGUAGAUUAAUACUCUGCAAUUUUGACGUUACCGACAGAAUAAGCACCGGCUAACUCUGUGCCAGCAGCCGCGGUAAUACAGAGGGUGCAAGCGUUAAUCGGAAUUACUGGGCGUAAAGCGCGCGUAGGUGGUUUGUUAAGUUGGAUGUGAAAGCCCCGGGCUCAACCUGGGAACUGCAUUCAAAACUGACAAGCUAGAGUAUGGUAGAGGGUGGUGGAAUUUCCUGUGUAGCGGUGAAAUGCGUAGAUAUAGGAAGGAACACCAGUGGCGAAGGCGACCACCUGGACUGAUACUGACACUGAGGUG
rnacentral:rRNA from 1 species